rnacentral:rRNA from 1 species
UACGAGGGGGGCAAGCGUUGUUCGGAAUUAUUGGGCGUAAAGGGCGCGUAGGCGGUUUGACAAGUCUGAUGUGAAAUCUAUGAGCUCAACCCAUAGCCUGCAUUAGAAACUGUCGGGCUUGAGUAUGGGAGAGGUGAGUGGAAUUUCCGGUGUAGCGGUGAAAUGCGUAGAUAUCGGAAGGAACACCUGUGGCGAAAGCGGCUCACUGGACCAUAACUGACGCUGAGGCGCGAAAGCUAGGGGAGCAAACAGG